CACACGACUCUCGGCAACGGAUAUCUCGGCUCUCACAUCGAUGAAGAACGUAGCAAAAUGCGAUACCUGGUGUGAAUUGCAGAAUCCCGCGAACCAUCGAGUUUUUGAACGCAAGUUGCGCCCGAGGCCUUCUGGCCGAGGGCACGCCUGCCUGGGCGUCACGC
rnacentral:rRNA from 1 species